rnacentral:tRNA from 1 species
UGCUUGGUAACCUAGUGGUUAAGGGUUCAGCAUUGUUACUGCUGUGGCUUGGGUUCUAUCCCUGGCCCGGGAA